GACCCCAAGGUCCCUAGCUCUGAAAUUUGCUCCCAUUGGGAAUCCACCCUGGCUUCUGCAGGACAAGGUUCCUGGCAGUAGGUGUCAAAGAAACAGAGGAGAGAUUACAGAAAUGAGAGCCAAGUUGUGCCAGAUCCAAGAAAUCAAUGUGGCAUGAGUACACCCCUCAUGAAGCAUCAGAAGAUUCAUAUGGGAGACAGAAAUGGUGAAUGAAAGCUCAUCUUGCAUGGAAAACUUCAAGCAAAACUCACACCUUAGCAGACAUCAGAGAACCCAACCACAAGACGCAAUUCCUCGUGGACCAGCCUCUAUCAGCUCUUCUGUUCACAGACCUACUCAUUUCUUUUUACUCCCAAUGCUUUGAUAAGAUCUAGUGGUUCACUGCAGUCUAACCUCUAUGCAGCAGAUGAGUGAAAAGGAACCAGGUGAUCAGAGUAUUUUCUGUUCUUGCAUAACAAAGUGCAAUAAUUCCUGCAGAGAUGUCAGAAUUGCUAAUGCUACCUGUCAGGCUGCCACAGCAGCAGUUUAGGAAAGAUCCUGAUAGCACCUCCUGCCUUUGUUUUCACCUAUUUGUAAGUAUCAGAUUUGCAGUGCUGGUUCUCUUGCUUAACUUUGAAAACAGAAUGAGCUCUUUAUGAGAGGAAAUUUCGUGAAAGAAGUAAAUCAGGUUGAUCAUGAGGAUCAAUCUUAUGAA